rnacentral:rRNA from 1 species
UGGGGAAUAUUGCACAAUGUGGGAAACCCUGAUGCAGCGACGCCGCGUGAGCGAAGAAGGUUUUCGAAUCGUAAAGCUCUGUCCUAUGAGAAGAUAAUGACGGUAUCAUAGGAGGAAGCCCCGGCUAAAUACGUGCCAGCAGCCGCGGUAAUACGUAUGGGGCGAGCGUUGUCCGGAAUUAUUGGGCGUAAAGGGUACGUAGGCGGUCUAUUAAGUCAGGUGUGAAAGCGUGAGGCUUAACCUCAUUAAGCACUUGAAACUGAUAGACUUGAGUGAAGGAGAGGAAAGUGGAAUUCCUAGUGUAGCGAUGAAAUGCGUAGAUAUUAGGAGGAAUACCGGUGGAGAAGGCGACUUUCUGGACUUUUAAAGACGAUCAGGUACGAAAGCGUGGGGAGCAAACAGG